rnacentral:rRNA from 1 species
UAUGUGAUCGUCUCUCGCAUAUCAAUAAGCGGAGGAAAAGAAACUAACAAGGAUUCCCCUAGUAACGGCGAGUGAAGCGGGAAGAGCUCAAAUUUGAAAUCUUAAAGGGUUUCCCUUUACGAAUUGUAGUUUAAAGAAGUGUUUUCUGUUGAGGUUUUGGUAAAAGUUCUUUGGAAUAGGACAUCAUAGAGGGUGAGAAUCCCGUAUUUGACCUUUACUUUCAACUUUGUGAUACACUUUCAAAGAGUCGGAUUGUUUGGGAAUGCAGUCCAAAAUGGGUGGUAAAUUUCAUCUAAAGCUAAAUAUUGGCGAGAGACCGAUAGCGAACAAGUACCGUGAGGGAAAGAUGAAAAGAACUUUGAAAAGAGAGUUAAACAGUACGUGAAAUUGUCAGAAGGGAAGCGUUUGACACCAGUGUUGUUUUUCUGAAAAUCAAUUAAAGAACUGUUUAUGCUAAGCUGUUUAGACUUUAUCAGCUAUCUGUUUAGUUUUGAGCUUUUCUUUAAUGCACUUUUCAGUUAACAAGUCAACAUCAAUUUCUUUUGCUGUAAAAAAGCUUGAGGAAGGUGGCUUGAGAUUCGUCUUAAGUGUUUAUAGCCUCUUGCCUAUGCAGUCGGAGAGAUUGAGGUCUGCAGCGUAGAUCCUUCGGGGCUAAAUGCAUUUGUGCUAAGUUAUAGCAUUUUAUAGACAACUUGUUGACUAUGAUUUGUCUUGUAGCUUACUCGCUUAUGUUAUUUUACCUACGCUUAGGAUGUUGAACGCGCACAGAGUCUC